GAUGAAGAACGCAGCGAAAUGCGAUAAGUAGUGUGAAUUGCAGAAUUCAGUGAAUCAUCGAAUCUUUGAACGCACAUUGCGCCCCUUGGUAUUCCAUGGGGCAUGCCUGUUCGAGCGUCAUUUGUACCUUCAAGCUUUGCUUGGUGUUGGGUGUUUGUCCUGAGGGACUCGCCUUAAAGUAAUUGGCAGCCAGUGUUUGGUUUUGAAGCGCAGCACAAGUCGCGAUUCAAAGCUAUACGCCCGCUUCCACAAGCCUUUUUCACUUUUGACCUCGGAUCAGGUAGGGAUACCCGCUGAACUUAAGUAUAUCAAUAAGCGGAGGA
rnacentral:misc_RNA from 1 species